rnacentral:rRNA from 1 species
AUGUGGUGGCGUAUAACACGGUCAUCCAUAGCUUCUUUAAGGAAGGCAAAAAGGGCCAUCUUAUUCCAUGAAAUGAUGCGGCAAGGUGUUGUGCCUGAUGCAGUGACAUGUAGCUCGGUCAUUGAUGCGCUAUGCAAGGCCGGGGCUAUGGACAAGGCAGAGUUGUUCCUUCGGCAGAUGAUUGAUAACGGUGUUCGACCGAAUAAAGAGACAUAUAAUUGCGUCAUCAAUGGAUACUCCACAUCAGGGCAGUGGAAAGGCGCUGCUAAAAUGUUCAGAGAAAUGACAAGCCAGGGUCUUAUACUAGACAUCUUUACUUACAACUGGUUCUCUUCCCUUUGCAAGCAUGGAAGGAACAAAGAAGCUGCAGAAUUUUCGAUUCCAUGA